GACCCUUCACUGAACUGAUUAAGUUUGUUAACCCAGCAGGUUAAAGGGAACAGGUUUCUGUUGGGUUAAUGACUUGCCUCAUGAAAUUUCAUGCUUAAGCAUGGGGAUUGUGCAAGCACUGGGACACGUGAGCUACAGGGACCACGUAGCAUCUGCUUGCAGAUGACCAUAUGUGAUUGCUGCCCUCUUGUUCAGUCAUGGGCAAGAGACCUCAAGAACAAGCCAGAGUUACCGCUCAAACUGAUGAGUCAAGACUGUAACAGCUCCUAUCUCCUUAGCUCAGCAAAGAGACCUGUAACACCACAACAUUCCAAUUCCAUGACACUGUCCAGUUUCAGUUUCCCAUCUAACUUCUUACCAAUGGUAGUCUGCAAAAAAGCCCAAGAAACCAGCCUUACAAGUAUUGCUUCCUGUUUUCUGAAGCUGAAUCCAGAACGUUAGUUUUUGUAAUGAUGAUGAACUGUGAACUGUGAGUCUUUUCCCUAUGGACUCAGUAACAAACAAUGUAAGCAAAAUUUUGCAAAUGAAGCUACAGGCUGUCACUCCCAGAUGGCAAGAAUUAGCAGAGGAAGUUUUGUUGUGCUUCCUUUCCUCAGCUGUGUACCCCUCCCUUGUUUUUGGAAGUGGUAACCUUCAGACAGGGAUGACUCAGCUGCUGGUGAAUCACCUGCUGAAGUGCUGAAAGUGAUAGUCUGGCUCAAGUUCCUCAAGCAACAGUGAACUGUCAAGACAGACGAGCAAGGAAAUGGUUUUCUGCAGCUGGGAGUGUUUUCCUGCUUGCACAUCUACCUCUGCUGCAGUUGGAGGUGGUUGUCUUCAUCUGCACAGACUUUACUGUAAUUUCAACAAUCCCUGCUGAGAUCUUGUCUAAUCAAAGCUUCUUUGUGCAGCUGCUCAUUCAUGAUAGGAAGGACUUUUUCACAAGCAUUGCCAUAAGCGUUCAUUUACAGAAAAGCUAUCUGUGAAUAACUCGUAUACAGUGUAACUGGAGAAACUGGUCAGGGAUGCUUCACUGUUUUCCAGUUGGCAGCAUGGAAAAUAAUGGAAUAUCUCUGACCAGGUGUUACUUCCAAUUUUUCCCAAAGAGAACAGAGCUGGAAGAGCCUUCUGAAAUCUUGCAAUUUCAAAUUACCAUUUUCUGGAUUGUGACAGCAGAGAAAGACAGGAGGAAAACUAAAAACCACAUACUGAGCCAGACUCUGCUUCCCAAAGGGACUGCACAUGUCCAACCAGCAGCUGUGCAGAAAAACAAAGAGAACUUGUUGUCACUAUGUGGCAAGUCUAAGUUUCCUUUGCAAACAAACUGAACCAGUUUGAGAGACACCAGACAACUCUAGUACACCACGACAUUUUUGACUAAUGUGAUCAAUGAUCCUUUUGGACUAUUUCUUUCAGUAUCUGUACCUUUUUUUCCCUUAAUAUUAGAAGAAAAGUGACCAGCUGACUGUUCUCAGUGACAGUAAUACCAACCACCUCUACUGCUGAGCAAGCAGACACUGUGAGAAGAUCAGCUCCAAGUCACCGAUGAGAACAGCUUGGCAAGAACCAGCAUGCUUUUUGUUCUUCACCUGCCGUGGUGCAGAUUUGUGCUACUCAGCCUAACCAGCAAUAGUUCCUUGAGCGGCUGAAGUCUGAAGAAAAAUCACAGACUCACUCAACACCAGGGCACAGAAGUGACAUAAUUCUUGAAGAAAACACCUCAAACAAGUACCUCACCUGAGUCUUCUGUCAAGAUUUGUUCUUUCUGGGUACACAUCCUUUUGGUAUACAAUUACUUGUCACUGACAGCUCUUUCUUUGAGUAAGUUGUUAGUUAGAAUAGUCCCGAAACACAGGUAUGCUAUUUUGCAAUAACAAUCACUAUAGCAUGAUUCAAGUCGGUUUUGGAAUUUAAUUAACUGAACAUGGAGCAUUGUAUGACCCUACUUCCAGUCACAACCAUAAUCAUUCCAGAAAUACACAGAUGGACUAAUAAGUAAUUCAAGGUGUAUUUUUUUUAAAAAAAAUCAUUACAGAGAAGUUCCUCUAAGUAAGCCCUCCACCAAGAAUUCCCAGCACUGAACAAUACUCACUGAGCCUUGCACGCAUGACAGAAUGCCUCAGCUAUCUAUCUCUAUGUUAAUUUCUGAGUAAGCUUCUUCUACACCAAUGCAGUCAAUACUGGUGACUCUUCUCCAAUGGGACUGCACUAUCAUCUAAAUUUCAUAGCCUAGAUUGUGACACCGAAGUUUGUGGUGACAACAAACUUGUUCUGCAAGAACCUCAGUUGUUGC